rnacentral:rRNA from 1 species
CAGCCGCCGCGGGAAUACGUAGGGGGCGAGCGUUGUCCGAAGUUACUGGGCGUAAAGCGCGCGUAGGCGGCUUCUUAAGUCUGAGGUGAAAGGUUCAACGCUUAACGUGAACAGUGCCUUGGAUACUGGGGAGCUUGAGUAUGGGAGAGGGCAGUGGAAUGGCUGGUGUAGCGGUGAAAUGCGUAGAUAUCAGUCGGAACACCCAUGGCGAAGGCAGCUGCCUGGCCUAAUACUGACGCUGAGGUGCGAAAGCGUGGGGAGCGAACGGGAUUAGAUACCCCUGUAGUCCCUGUCUCUUUAC